GGAGAACAAAAAAUCCAUCAGAGGAAUAGACCAUUCCCCUAGAGAGUACAACGACGCUAGCUUCUUCUUCGUCUUCUUCUUCUUCUUCUUCUUCACAUAAACACACACACUCAAAAAUGCACAAAAAGGAGAGGAAAAGAACGAGAAGAUAGGGAAGGGAGAAACAUGGGCUCUCAUCGCUCACUCAUUCUAAUUUAAUUUUUUUUUAGAAGAAAAACGACAUCCACCUCUGAUCUUUAUUUCUUGAGCAAUCGAAGUUGUUUUCGAGCUUUUCAGUGUCGACACCGGAGUUUCGUCAUCUUCGACUAGCUAUCUCUUACCACAAAACGCAGCAACUUUACCUUCGUUCCCGCUGCCAUUCUCAUGAGUUGAAUUUCAGUCCGUCAAGUUAUUUUCUGGGAUCCAAGGCAACUUAUAACUCGAGACCAAAGCUGGGUGUUGAUUUCUACUGUUGAAUCGACUGUUUGGUGGCUGAACUCAGACCAUUAUUUUGGUCCGUUUCUUUGCGAUUGUCCUACUUUUAGGAGUGAUUUCGAGCUAUGUAGAUAUUAUGGAAUGAAUUCAAGUGAUUUGGAGCUUUGAAGUCUGAGUAAAAUCCCAAGGAAUUAAGCCGGGAUCGUGUUCGGGGAUCAAUGGAUGAUAAUUAAGAACGAAAUGGAGAAUCGAGCGGGCAUACGGCGCAUUCUAGUAAAAUGUACAUAACUUUUCACUCAAAACUCCGUUUGGGAUCCACAAUAUAUCAUUGGAAAGAUAUUUGAAAGGUCUACAACUUUCAUGUUUUGAAUUUUUGCAAAUUCCCAUUAUAGCGGUGCGUGAUGCGGCACGCGGUGCGCCAUGCCUAUGGAAUUUUUCUGCAGCCUAUCAAAAUCAUCAAUCUGAGCUUUUCCACUGCCGCCCCGCAUGGGGCGACGCGAUAGUACAAAUUUUACAGAGUGAGUGUCCUAUGUCGCGUGGGAUAAGAUUCAUCCUAAGGAGGCAGGGACACAAUAGGAGCAAGGCGGAGAAUUCUUCUAGGAAUUUUUCCUUCCUCUUACCUUUUUCAUUGUUGGUAUGACUUUUAGUAUUGUAGUUUUACAUACUAUUAUGAAUAGCUAAUUUGUUAUCUAGAGUUUUGAUAAAACUUUUUGUGGAAUAAAUUCUUGGUAUGUUUAUAUAAUUGUGCCGUAAUAUUUUCUA